UCCGUAGGUGAACCUGCGGAGGGAUCAUUACCGAGUUAUACUCCAAACCCUUUGUGAACGCUACCUACUGUUGCUCGGCGCACAGCGGCCCCGGCCGCGCCGCGUCAGAGGACCAAAACUCUCAACUUACAGCACACACUCUGAUUAAAAAGACAAACAGUCAAAACUUUCAACAACGGAUCUCUUGGUUCUGGCAUCGAUGAAGAACGCAGCGAAAUGCGAUAAGUAAUGUGAAUUGCAGAAUUCAGUGAAUCAUCGAAUCUUUGAACGCACAUUGCGCCCGGGAGUAAUCUCCCGGGCAUGCCUGUCCGAGCGUCAUUUCAGCCCUCGAGCCCCCUCUUCUGGGGAUCGGUGUUGGGGCACUGCAGUAAAACGCAGGCCCCCAAAUCCAGUGGCGGUCCCGCCGCGGCACUCCAUGCGUAGUACUACAAUUCUCGCGUCGGGCCAGAGCGGACCACAGACCACAAAACCACACUAUAACGAAAUGUUUGACCUCGGAUCAGGUAGGGUUACCCGCUGAACUUAAGCAUAUCAAUAAGCGGAGGGAAGUCGGACUGGCCAAGGGGCACACCAGGGGGGGGGGAUA
rnacentral:rRNA from 1 species